CCCAGUAUUUCUAUGCAAAUUCCGGGCCAGGUUCGGCCUUCCUAGCAAAUUGCAUAAUUUAUGAAGAAAAAAGGUAACAAUGAUUUUUUUGCUCCCCACGCUUGUUAUUCUGAAUUGCAUGUCAUCUGACGCAUUUUGAGAUGUUCUGCCAACAGUAUAUACUUAUGUGUUUUCUCUUGAAAUACAGGUAACUCCUGGUAUUUGUUGGUUGCAAUUCCUCUGACAGUUACAACACAUGGCAAUGAUACCUCUGCACAUUGUCGAAUAAAAAAUAUAGAGAUGAUAUUCAUUGACGCCAGGCUUCAAAAUUCAGCUCUUUUAUUUCUGCCAUGGUGUACCUUUCUGCUUGGUUCAGUUUUGCCUGAUCUACUUCCAGAUGUAUACUACACUUAGUUUGUUCAUGCAUUAGAAGCAGGCUUUCAGCAAUGGAAUAGCGGGUGGAUGAGAAGCUCCACAACCUGCACAUUGUGAUGGAGAAUCACUGCUGAAGGUGAUAUUGCAUGCUAAAGGUGAUAUUGCAGGCACCAUCAUGGCCACAUCGAAGGUCCUAAGCUCUAGGUGAUGGAGAAUCACUGCUGAAGGUGAUAUUGCAUGCUAAAGGUGAUAUUGCAGGCACCAUCAUGGCCACAUCGAAGGUCCUAAGCUCUAGGUGAGAAGAACGCAAAUAACUCUACACUGCAGGAUAAGAUGGAACAACAAGCUGGGUUUUUUUUUCCGUCGCUGAACAGCCACCAUGUUGCAGGAGAUUAUCAACUCACUUUUUGUUUACAGGAAAAUUUAUUGACACUCAAGAGUCAAGACAAAUGCAACAAAUUUUUGAAGUUGUGUUCUACCACUUCCCACAAUAAAUAAAAGAAAUUAUAGAAAGAAGUUUGCAGCUGUAGGGGCGAUGUCUUUCAGGUUGUGUGGAAUCCAAAUUUGGAGACUGUUGGCCUUCCAUGCUGCGGACAAAAGGGUGAUGAGAUGGGACGUUAGUAGGUCUUCAUAUAGAUCAACAUUCAGCAUGUACAAUCUUACAUUUCAUUGGUGGAACCAACCCAGUCAGAGAGCCUAGGAAAAAUAGCAAGUCUCGUGACCCGCGGCGUUUUGCUUGCAGAGGCUUGUCCAAGUUGAAGAAUAAAGUAUGGAAACCAAAGCAUACAUUCACAGAAACUGGGAUAUAAGUGCUUGCGUUCGUAUGAUCCUGUUAAUUGCUUUAUAAUUAUUUUAUUCAAGGCAUCUAACCCUCCUACCAGAAAAUGACUAUCCCAACCGCAUCACUAUGUGAUCGAAAGAACCUUUCAAUUGCCCCAACCUCUAACUAUUUGAUCCUUUUGAUAGGUCUAUAACUCUAUAUCCACAAUGGGUACCAAUCUUUUUGUCAACGUUUUGGUUUCCUGGCCUAUAAAGUGAUAUGCAUGUUCGUUAGGCAUGAAGUAGAUGCUCAAGAUAUAUUUAGAACAUCUUUGGUAAUGUGCAAUGUGUCCAUUCCAGGAGGUACUGCAGAUAUCUAUCCAUGUAGCUCGAUGAACUGUGGUACUUAGUUAACAGCGACACCCAUCAGUUAGGUUAUAAAAUCCUUAGUUAUUGGAGCCAUUCAUAUGCGUUUAUCAGCGCAGGAAGGAAGAAGGUUUUCUUGUGUUACUUUAUGACUUUUCCCUUUGACCAUCGAAUGGUACCUAUAUUGUAUAUGCUGGUGUAUAAUACUUGUUCCGGUAUAUGUUUGUUCUUCGCACACAGUGCAGAUAGAGCUAAAUCUGGACAAACUUUGCAGUAAUAAAACCUUAUUGCAUGAUGCUUUGAAAAAUAAAAAUAUUGUAACGAUUAGUUUGUGAGUUAUCCAUAUUGCUUCACCCACUCGUUCGAAAGGUUUGUAUCCAUAGGUUUUGUAACAAUAUAUGGUUAUGAUAUAUACAGGUUUUAUGUACUUA